rnacentral:rRNA from 1 species
GACGAACGCUGGCGGCGUGCCUAAUACAUGCAAGUCGAGCGAGUCUGCCUUGAAGAUCGGAGUGCUUGCACUCUGUGAAACAAGAUACAGGCUAGCGGCGGACGGGUGAGUAACACGUGGGUAACCUGCCCAAGAGAUCGGGAUAACACCUGGAAACAGAUGCUAAUACCGGAUAACAACAGAUGAUGCCUAUCAACUGUUUAAAAGAUGGUUCUGCUAUCACUCUUGGAUGGACCUGCGGUGCAUUAGCUAGUUGGUAGGGUAACGGCCUACCAAGGCGAUGAUGCAUAGCCGAGUUGAGAGACUGAUCGGCCACAUUGGGACUGAGACACGGCCCAAACUCCUACGGGAGGCAGCAGUAGGGAAUCUUCCACAAUGGACGCAAGUCUGAU